rnacentral:snRNA from 1 species
AUACCUUUCUCGAUCUUUGUCUAAGAUAAAGUGUAGUAUUUGUUCUUAUCAGUUUUAUAUCUGAUAUGCAGAUCAUGUGUUCGCUUUAAUAUUAAAUUUAUUUUUGAUGGGUAUCAAAUAUGAUUGAACCAUUACACCACAGAUGGGUCGUGAGAAACCACU